rnacentral:lncRNA from 1 species
AAGAAAAAAAUGUCAUAAAUAAAGACAAAACUCUGCCAAAUUAAGAUUGCGACUACUAAAGACCUAAGGUAAGUGAGUAUUAUGAUUUUGUUAGCCUAUGUAGUUUUUUUAAUUGUUUUACAUAUUUUAGUAUAAAUAAAUGAGUAAGUGGAUAUUAUGGAUUCAUUGGCCUAGGUAGCUUUGAAGUAUUUUUUAGAUAAGUAUUUGUUAAAGUUUUACUUUGAUAUAAGUGUUACUUCACUUUUUGUUUUCGAAAUAUGAUGUUGAUACGUGUGCAUCACUCAUUAUAGAAAGAAGUUGUUCUGAAAGUACCUGCAUUAUGCUAGAUUUUAAUGUGGUUGUACAUAACCGUUUUGUGUUUAGGUGUAUUGGCAAAGUAAUAACUGUGUAC